GGGAAGCAGGCCAACCUCGACGAUCUCCUCAGCACCUGAACGCCAAGGCUGGGGAGAUCCUCGAGGUUGGCCUGCUUUCC
rnacentral:pre_miRNA from 3 species